CAAACAGAUGAGGACGGUAAUAAUCCAGAGUACUCUCACUGCAGUUGUUCAUGUCGUUCAUCUUCCACGAGCUCUGUUCUGCACUUCUCCUGGACAGUUCUUUGUUGUGGACCAAACGUGGAUGAUCCAAGGAAUUUUGGUUUCGGGAUUAAACUGGCAACAUAACAUCUGACAGACCGACUGCUCAAGAAGCCUAUGACGUCAACACGGCUUGACAGGAAGUGACUAUGAGGGUUCGGCAACCUGUGGUGGCACUUGAGCAACGGCCCUCUUCUCUUCUACAACUCCUGGCUUCAUUGUCAACUUACCUCACUCCCAGGUGGUCACCACUUCAGUCCAUCGACUUGCAGGCUUGGCUCCAGCUUUAAGAUCUAAGGUGGACCAUAGGUCUCAUAGAAUGGGCCGUACAGUAGGCACUAACAAAAAUGACCAUGGUCUUAGUCUUUUUUCUUCUUUGGAUUUGGUACCAUGCUAAUACCAUGGUAUUCUUUAAAGCAUCUUGAAGGACUCCGUAAAUAUCAUGGUACAUCAAUCAUUAAGUAUCUUAAUAUAUACCAGAAGUAUUCAAUUAAAGUUCCAAGAGGUCUGGUCUCUACAUUUCCUUCCCAGCAAUUGUCUUUCAAUCAUAACUUAAAUGAUUUCAGUAGCUAAUAUAGCUUGUACAGCUAUGAAAUGAUAUAAGCAAUGUGCAUUUUCUGUAAUUUCUUUCUUUUGUAAAUUUCCAAGUUGGCAGCAAUAAAAGAAAGAAACCAUAAAUCCUAAAUAGUCAUAAUAGUCU